rnacentral:rRNA from 1 species
UGGAAGUAAAAGUCGUAACAAGGUCUCCGUUGGUGAACCAGCGGAGGGAUCAUUACUGAGUUUACGCUCUACAACCCUUUGUGAACAUACCUAUAACUGUUGCUUCGGCGGGUAGGGUCUCCGUGACCCUCCCGGCCUCCCGCCCCCGGGCGGGUCGGCGCCCGCCGGAGGAUAACCAAACUCUGAUUUAACGACGUUUCUUCUGAGUGGUACAAGCAAAUAAUCAAAACUUUUAACAACGGAUCUCUUGGUUCUGGCAUCGAUGAAGAACGCAGCGAAAUGCGAUAAGUAAUGUGAAUUGCAGAAUUCAGUGAAUCAUCGAAUCUUUGAACGCACAUUGCGCCCGCCAGCAUUCUGGCGGGCAUGCCUGUUCGAGCGUCAUUUCAACCCUCAAGCUCUGCUUGGUGUUGGGGCCCUACAGCUGAUGUAGGCCCUCAAAGGUAGUGGCGGACCCUCCCGGAGCCUCCUUUGCGUAGUAACUUUACGUCUCGCACUGGGAUCCGGAGGGACUCUUGCCGUAAAACCCCCAAUUUUCCAAAGGUUGACCUC